rnacentral:rRNA from 1 species
UGAAUACGAGAUGCUACGGCAUCGAAGCAGUCUAUGUCAUACUUCCAAGAAAAGCUUGCACUGUCAUAAACAAAUAAUGCCUGUACCAUAACCGACACAGGUGGGUAGGUAGAGUAUACUAAGGGGCGCGAGAUAACUCUCUCUAAGGAACUCGGCAAAAUGACUCCGUAACUUCGGGAGAAGGAGUGCCUUAUUUUAUAAGGUUGCAAUAACAAGAUCCAAGCAACUGUUUACCAAAAACACAGGUCUCCGCUAAGUCGUAAGACGAUGUAUGGGGGCUGACGCCUGCCCAGUGCCAGAAGGUUAAAGAAGUUGGUUAGCAUUAGCGAAGCUGAUAACUGAAGCCCUGGUGAACGGCGGCCGUAACAAUAACGGUCCUAAGGUAGCGAAAUUCCUUGUCGGGUAAGUUCCGACCCGCACGAAAGGCGUAAUGAUUUGGAUACUGUCUCGGAGAGGGGCUCGGUGAAAUAGACUUGUCUGUGAAGAUGCGGACUACCUGCACCAGGACAGAAAGACCCUAUGAAGCUUUACUGUAACUUGAGAUUGAAAUUGGACUUUAUUUGCGCAGUAUAGGUGGGAGACGUUGAAAAUAUUCUUGCGGGAAUAUUGGAGUCAUCAGUGAGAUACCACUCUUAUAAUGUUAGAUUUCUAACUUUGUAUCAUUAUCUGGUCAAAGAACAGUCUCAGGCGGGCAGUUUGUCUGGGGCGGUCGCCUCCCAAACGGUAGCGGAGGCGCACAAAGGUUUCCUCUGAACGUGUAGAAAUCGUAUCUAGAGUGUAAAGGCAUAAGGAAGCUUGACUGUGAGACCUACAAGUCGAGCAGGGACGAAAGUCGGUCUUAGUGAUCUGACGGUGCUGAGUGGAAAGGCCGUCACUCAACGGAUAAAAGUUACUCUAGGAUAACAGGCUGAUCUCCCCCAAGAGUUCACAUCGACGGGGAGGUUUGGCACCUCGAUGUCGGCUCAUCGCAUCCUGGGGCGGUAGUACGUCCCAAGGGUUGGGCUGUUCGCCCAUGAAAGCGGUACGCGAGCUGGGUUCAGAACGUCGUGAGACAGUUCGGUCCUUAUCCGGUGUAGGCGUUAGAAUAUUGAGAGGGGCCUUCUUUAGUACGAGAGGACCGAGAAGGACAUACCUCUGGUGUACCAGUUAUCGUGCCAACGGUAAACGCUGGGUAGCUAUGUAUGGAGAGGAUAACCGCUGAAAGCAUCUAAGUGGGAAGCCCACCUCAAGAUAAG